rnacentral:tRNA from 1 species
GUCAGGAUGGUCGAGGGUCUAAGGCGCUGUGUUAAGGUUUCAGUCUCUUCUGGAGGUGUGGGUUCAAAUCCCACUUCUGACA